GUGCCAGCCGCCGCGGUAAUACGGAGGGUCCAAGCGUUAUCCGGAAUCAUUGGGUUUAAAGGGUGCGCAGGCGGUAAAGUAAGUCAGUGGUGAAAUCUCUCGGCUCAACCGAGAAACUGCCAUUGAUACUGCUAUACUUGAAUAUAGUCGAAGUGGGCGGAAUGUGACAUGUAGCGGUGAAAUGCUUAGAUAUGUCACAGAACACCGAUAGCGAAGGCAGCUCACUAGACUAACAUUGACGCUCAUGCACGAAAGCGUGGGGAGCGAACAGGAUUAGAAACCCGAGUAGUCC
rnacentral:rRNA from 1 species